CCAGCCAGCGAUUAUCUCAUCUUGCUGCAGAUAGGAGGUGAAAAAUACCACACUGUAUUAUAAAUGAGCGCAUGCAGAAUGUGACACGUCAGGCUGGUAUUCUGUUGUGCUUCCUUAACAACCAAGCAAUAGCUUAUAGGAAAGUUCUUGGCUCUGCUGAGUCAAAGUCCCAAGAACAGGAUGCUUUUUAUCCAUGAAGUGACUCUUGAAGAAGUAAAAGAAGUCUAAGUUCCACUCCUUAAGCAGUCUUUGGGUUGGAUCUUGAAAACCUUGCUGGGAGGAGAGAGAAGCUAAUUAUGAAACAAAAUGGAAACUUGCAUAUACAGGAGAAGAUGACAAGGUGUCUACUUACAGCUUUUACUCCAGUGGUGAUGGGAGCAGGGUGAGAGAGAUAAUAAGCACUUAAAUGAUACCACAUGAAUAAAAUAAUUUCAGACAGGGAAAUGUUAUGAAGAAAACAAAAUACAGUAAGAGUGAUUGGAGCAUAUUAGGUAGGGUAGUUGUAGAAUACAGUGAGGUAAUUUAAUGAUGCAACAAUAGUGCCUUCCACCAAGUUUGUGUAAGCAUAAAGAUAUCAGCACAUAAGAAGAACAUUCAUGAAGAGACCUUAAAAGCAGAUGCUUGGUGCAAAAGUACUCAUGCCAAGAGAUUCUCUAAUAAUGCGCAAUGCAUCACCUAUCUCAAAAGAGGCUCCCCAAACCCUCGGAUUUAUUAGGACUAACUGGCCGGUCUCUUACUCUCCAGACAAAAUUUCUACUUUUUCUCUCUCAAGUUGCAAAACAACUAUUUCUAAUGAUGGAUUAAAAACCUGAAGCUGCUAUUCCAUUAUGAACCUCUAUCUAGUAGCUACUGCAAACUGCUCAGCUCCUUUGCUUGAAACCUCCAGGAGGGCUCUGGUGAGUAAGAAAAGCAGAAGAAAAUUGCUUCCGGGAUUGCUGGGUAAGAACUGCCUCUGGUGCUCUCUGGAGCAUACUAUCUCUUUAUAAGAAGCAGACAAACCAGGAGUCAGGGGGGAGUUCACAUCAAAUCACCUUCAGAAGCUGUCAACAGUCCCAGAGAACUACCUUAGUGGACGGAAAGAAGGAUGCGGAAAAAGGAGAGAUGAUGCAGCCUUGCUUUACGUUUGCAAAUUGGAUAAAUAAGGAAAAUAUUUAAUUCUUUAAAAAAAUGUUAAAUAAAUGGGAGCUUUUCAACUU
rnacentral:lncRNA from 1 species